AUUGAACGCUGGCGGCAUGCCUAACACAUGCAAGUCGGGCGGAGCGGCGGACGGGUGAGUAAUGUAUGGGGAUCUGCCUGAUGGAGGGGGAUAACUACUGGAAACGGUAGCUAAUACCGCAUACUAUCAGAUGAGACUAGGUCGGAAUAGCUAGUUGGUGGGGUAAAGGCCUACUAAGGCGACGAUCCGUAACUGGUCUGAGAGGAUGAUCAGGCACACUGGAACGAAGACCCGGCCCAGACUCCUACGGGAGGAAGCAGGGGGGAAUAUUGGACAAUGGGCGAAAGCCUGAGCCAGCCAUGCCGCGGGUGUGAAGAAGGUCUUCGGAUUGUAAAGCACUUUAAGUUGGGAGGCGUUACCAACAGAAUAAGCACCGGCUAACUUCGUGCCAGCAGCCGCGGUAAUAC
rnacentral:rRNA from 1 species